UACGGAGGGUGCAAGCGUUAUCCGGAUUCACUGGGUUUAAAGGGUGCGUAGGCGGGCAGAUAAGUCAGUGGUGCAAUCUCCGAGCUUAACUCCGAAACUGCCAUUGAUACUGUCCAUCUUGAGUACAUUUGAUGUGGGCGGAAUGUGUCAUGUAGCGGUGAAAUGCUUAGAUAUGACGCAGAACACCGAUUGCGAAGGCAGCUCACAAAACUGUUACUGACGCUGAGGCACGAAAGCGUGGGUAUCAAACAGG
rnacentral:rRNA from 1 species